rnacentral:rRNA from 1 species
UACGGAGGGUGCGAGCGUUGUCCGGAAUCACUGGGCGUAAAGGGCGCGUAGGCGGCUGGGGAAGUCGGCGGUGAAAGCCCGGAGCUCAACUCCGGGUCGGCCGUCGAGACUCCUCGGCUCGAGCUCACUAGAGGCAGAUGGAAUUCCGGGUGUAGCGGUGGAAUGCGUAGAGAUCCGGAAGAACACCGGUGGCGAAGGCGGUCUGCUGGGGUGAGGCUGACGCUGAUGCGCGACAGCGUGGGGAGCAAACAGG